AGUAAGUAGAGUUUAUUUCCCCAUUUUGGCUUCUGUAAUAAUUAAUAUGGGCACUUCAUCAUAUAUAUGCAAAUGGGGAGUUCCUCUGCUGUGAAGAAGGGAUUGUAUGUUGAGGAAGCAAAGAGGAAAGAAAGAAACAUAUGAUAGGGAUAUUAUUAAAUUUAAAACAUGGCUGAAUGCUUCUUAUUUCAUGUUUACCCCAUAACAUUUAUCGACCUCUUUGUUCCAGGCACCAUACAAAUUUGUUUCACAUAUAUUCAUUUUAUCCUCAUAACAGUCCUAUAAUCCCUAAAUUACUAUCCACCUUUUUUUGAGAUAAGACAAAUGGAAGUUCAGAGUGAUUUGUUUAUUUGAGGUUGGAGAACAGAAAUCAUUCCCAAAUUCUUUCUGUAUCCUGUGUUUCUUUCACAGUGGCAUUCCUCCAGUUAACAGAGAAGUUUGGUUUCCUGGAACCUCAGAUGAUGGCAAAUGUGCACUUAGCGUCCUCUAUUUUCUGGGUGUUGAUGAUACAGAGACGAAUGAGAGCAAAUUACCAUGAGGUUCUCCAAGUCUAGAAGAUGAUUUUUCCCACCUGGAUAGAGGCAGAGGACUGUGGAAUGUGCGGUUAUACACCCAGAACACCAGGUUCAGAUCCCAGGUCCACCCUUGCUAGCUGUGACACCUUGAGGACAUCGUGCCAUCUCUCUAUGCCUUAAUUUUCUUACUGGUAAAAUGAAGAUUAUGAUAAUAUCUAGCUCACAGCUAUUGGGAAGAUCUUAAUAGCCCCUAAGUAGAACAUAGUAAGUGUUCAGUUAAGUGUUAGGGUCUGUUAUUAUAUAUAGUAGGAGAGCAAAAGUGAGAAGUGAUGGAGAAGGCAUUCAUCAUACGACUUCACAGUGUGGUUCACCUGUCUGUAAGACACUGUGAAUUACUAGAAAUUCCACCAUUAUCUGAUAAACAGGAUAAUUAUAUCGCAGUAUGUAAUGGGAAUGUGUAUUUUUCUGUAUGAAGCAUUUGUUUAAGAUAUACAAACCACAUUUUUUGGAUCACACAAUUUUAUGUAGUUCUGUUUUGGUCCAUCUUUAUUUCUUAAUAUCCAGAGGGGUCAGGAAAUGGAAAUGGUCAGGGCAGUUUACCAUUUCUGAAAGGCUUGCCGGCCGCCAUGAUGACCUGUCAUCCGAGCAAAAUCUAACAGGUGUCAC